rnacentral:rRNA from 1 species
GUUUGAUCCUGGCUCAGGACGAACGCUGGCGGCGUGCCUAACACAUGCAAGUCGAGCGAAGAAGUCCCUUCGGGGAUGGAUUAGCGGCGGACGGGUGAGUAACACGUGGGUAACCUGGCUCAAAGAGGGGGAUAGCCUCCCGAAAGGGAGAUUAAUACCGCAUAAAAGGUAAAUAUCGCAUGGUAAAUACCUUAAAGGAGAAAUCCGCUUUGAGAUGGGCCCGCGUCGCAUUAGCUAGUUGGAGGGAUAAAAGCCCCCCAAGGCGACGAUGCGUAGCCGACCUGAGAGGGUGAACGGCCACAUUGGAACUGAGAUACGGUCCAGACUCCUACGGGAGGCAGCAGUGGGGAAUAUUGCACAAUGGGGGAAACCCUGAUGCAGCAACGCCGCGUGAGUGAAGAAGGUUUUCGGAUCGUAAAGCUCUGUCAUCCGGGACGAUAAUGACGGUACCGGAAGAGGAAGCCACGGCUAACUACGUGCCAGCAGCCGCGGUAAUACGUAGGUGGCGAGCGUUGUCCGGAAUUACUGGGCGUAAAGGGUGUGCAGGCGGAUAUUUAAGUGAGAUGUGAAAGACCCGGGCUUAACCCGGGCAGUGCAUUUCAAACUGGAUAUCUAGAGUGCAGGAGAGGAGAACGGAAUUCCUAGUGUAGCGGUGAAAUGCGUAGAGAUUAGGAAGAACACCAGUGGCGAAGGCGGUUCUCUGGACUGUAACUGACGCUGAGGCACGAAAGCGUGGGUAGCAAACAGGAUUAGAUACCCUGGUAGUCCACGCCGUANACGAUGAGUACUAGGUGUAGGGGGUAUCGACCCCCCCUGUGCCGCAGUAAACACAAUAAGUACUCCGCCUGGGAAGUACGAUCGCAAGAUUAAAACUCAAAGGAAAUGACGGGGACCCGCACAAGCAGCGGAGCAUGUGGGUUAAUUCGAAGCAACGCGAAGAAACCUUACCUGGACUUGACAUCCCCUGAAAUACUUGUAAUGGAGGGAGCCCCUUCGGGCAGGGAGACA